CAAAAUCAUGUAAACGACUUUAACAGGGAUUUUCAGCUUGAAUAUGAUUUCAAUCAUCUUAUCGAAUGAGAUUAGUUUGUCUGCCAUAGUCUGGGAACAGUGAACCGUGUUUUUUCAGGACAUAAUCUUUAAAUGUUUCAGUGAGAAUGGUAAAUAUAGAACAGUUCAAAGAAAUGUGGUGGAGGAGUAUGAAUCCGGUGCUGGUACACACGUGUCUUUACUUUGGGCUUACACAUACACAUCUGACACUCACGUGUCUUUACUUUGGGCUUUUGGCACCAUGGGCACAGCACGAAGUUAUUGACAGUCACUACAGUUUUGACAAUAAUUAAAGAUCUCUCAGAUUUUAAAUUGAUGGAUGGGAGACCUGGAUUAGAGUCGUUCAAGCUGUUUACUGUAAAAAAAAAAAGUUGCAAACUAAAAACAGGACAACCUCUGAACAGGACUGACUGACCAAAUGAUAUUUGAAUGCAGCCGCACAAUAGCAGGGGAAUAUAAAUACUGCAGCGUGGACAUCUCUGUGAAACCUGAUGUAUUCAAAUGUCAUUUUUGUUGUGACUUAGAUGUGGUAGAGGAAGAGGAGAAUCAAAUACAUGGAUAAUGCAUGUGUAGUAAGAAAGGAGACAUGAGCUUAUAGAUACAAUGAGAAUAUAAAGCUUGACUGGGAAUCAAACCUGGGACCCCUGCAACUCUAGUCAAGAGCUCGGGUCGAUAUCCACAGUCCAUAUAAACCUAAUUACUUCACCAAUUCAUGUGAUUUAUUCCCCCUGCUAGGAUGUUCAGCCUUUAUUAGUGAAAAAUGUCCCCAUAAUAUGAAGAAAUGUAUCUGUUCAAUGUUUUAGACGCAUUUGUAACUUAUAUA